GUUGUGAAAUGUUGGGUUAAGUCCCGUAACGAGCGCAACCCUUGUCCUUAUUUGCCAGCACGUAAUGGUGGGAACUCUAAGGAGACUGCCGGUGACAAACCGGAGGAAGGUGGGGACGACGUCAAGUCAUCAUGGCCCUUACGGGUAGGGCUACACACGUGCUACAAUGGCCGGUACAAAGGGUUGCGAGACCGCGAGGUGGAGCGAAUCCCAGAAAGCCGGCCUCAGUCCGGAUCGGAGUCUGCAACUCGACUCCGUGAAGUCGGAAUCGCUAGUAAUCGUGAAUCAGAAUGUCACGGUGAAUACGUUCCCGGGCCUUGUA
rnacentral:rRNA from 1 species